GCCGUUGUAGCACAGCCUGGUAGUGCGACUCCUUGGUAAGGAGUAGGUCGCGGGUUCAAGUCCCGCCAACGGCU
rnacentral:tRNA from 2 species